rnacentral:rRNA from 1 species
CAUAGGCAGUGGCUUGGUUAAGGGAACCCACCAGAGCCGUUGCGAAAGCGAGUCUUCAUAGGGCAAUGGUUACUGCUUAUGGACUCGAACCUGGGUGAUCUAUCCAUGACCAGGAUGAACUUGGGUGAAACUAAGUGGAGGUCCGAACCGACUAAUGUUGAAGAAUCAGCAGAUGAGUUGUGGUUAGGGGUGAAAUGCCACUAGAACCCAGAGCUAGCUGG